rnacentral:rRNA from 1 species
GACGAACGCUGGCGGCGUGCUUAACACAUGCAAGUCGAACGGUAAGGCCCUUCGGGGUACACGAGUGGCGAACGGGUGAGUAACACGUGGGUGAUCUGCCCUGCACUUCGGGAUAAGCCUGGGAAACUGGGACUAAUACCGGAUAGGACCACUGCCUGCAUGGGUGGUGGUGGAAAGCUUUUGCGGUGUGGGAUGGGCCCGCGGCCUAUCAGCUUGUUGGUGGGGUGAUGGCCUACCAAGGCGACGACGGGUAGCCGGCCUGAGAGGGUGACCGGCCACACGGGGACUGAGAUACGGCCCAGACUCCUACGGGAGGCAGCAGUGGGGAAUAUUGCACAAUGGGCGCAAGCCUGAUGCAGCGACGCCGCGUGAGGGUUGACGGCCUUCGGGUUGUAAACCUCUUUCAGCACCGACGAAGCGCAAGUGACGGUAGGUGCAGAAGAAGGACCGGCCAACUACGUGCCAGCAGCCGCGGUAA